CAGCCGCCGCGGUAAUACGUAGGUGGCAAGCGUUGUCCGGAAUUAUUGGGCGUAAAGGGCUCGCAGGCGGUUGUGUAAGACAGGUGUGAAAUCCCCGGGCUUAACCUGGGAACUGCGCUUGUGACUGCACAGCUAGAGUAUGGCAGAGGGGGGUGGAAUUCCACGUGUAGCAGUGAAAUGCGUAGAGAUGUGGAGGAACACCAGUGGCGAAGGCGACUCUCUGGUCUGUAACUGACGCUGAGGAGCGAAAGCGUGGGGAGCGAACAGGAUUAGAUACCCGCGUAGUCCCUGUCUCUUAUAA
rnacentral:rRNA from 1 species